rnacentral:tRNA from 1 species
GUUUUAAUAGUUUAAUUGAAAAAUUUUAAAUUGCAAAUUUAAAGAUAAUAGUUGUAUAUUUUAAGAUU